AUUAAUGGUGAGGACUAAUCGAGGCCAUAGGGAGGCAGGUCUGGGGCUGUGGGAGCAGAAUGGGGUACAGGCUAAUUGGGAGAGAGGAUGCUCUGGGGGCUGAAAGGGAAACACAAAAUGGGGCAGGCACUGAAGUGGAUGGUAGUAGGCUGGGGAAUAGAGACAGAACCCCCGUUUGCUCUAGGACACAGGUUCAUGCCCCUAUUCUUGUGAAGAGAACUGCAAGCUGUUUAAUGAUGAUAAGUGAGGUUGGAAACUCAGAGGUCGUCAUCACAUGGAAUUCCCCUGAAACCCCAUCCUCAAAUGGGGACACAGAAGAGCCCACUCUUUGGAUCCCAGGAAUCCCCCCUUCUUGCUUCUCUGGACCCUUCUCUCUCUAGGCAGGCUGCCUUCACCUGUGCAAAUCUCUCUUCAAAGCAUUCCCAACUCAUGCUGGCUUUGGAGAGAAAAGGACUGGAACUGAGACCCACCCCCAACUGAUAAUGUAACAUGGACCUCUGGACCAUUUUGCAGAUUUCUUUAGAUUCUGCAGUCUCACAGGCAGCUUCACCCGGUUCGCCGACUGGCGGUUCAUUCACCAUGCGCGGCUGAAUUGCGUCCCGCUCAACAGUGCCAUCCGCCACGGGAACCGGGACAAACGCUGCAGGAAGUGCGGGUACGUCAACGAAACCCUGCCCCACGUCCUAUGCUGCUGCAAGCCCCAUGCCAGAGCCUGGCAGCUACGCCACAACGCCGUCCAGGACCGUCUAGUGAAGGCCAUCAACCCGCGUCUGGGAGAGAUCACCGUCAACCGCGCCGUCCCCAGCACCGACAGCCCGCUGCGCCCAGACAUCGUCGUCACGGAUAAGGUUGGAAAAAAGAUCAUCCUGGUCAACGUAACGAUUCCAUUCGAGAACAGGACCCCGGCUUUCCGCGAAGCCCGAGCCCGCAAGCUCGAAAAAUACGCCCCCCUGGCUGACACCCUGCGGACUAAGGGCU